CUCAGAGCAACGCACUCCAAACAUAAACAUACACUUAAAGGGACACUCUAGCCACCCAGACCACUUCAGCUCAUUGAGGUGGUCUGGGUGCAGUGUCCCUAUUGCACCUAGUGCUGCAGUGUAAAACAGUCUGCCCUCAGUGUGUGUUUAUCAGACAGCCACUGGGGGCGCAUCCAGAACCGCAGCGGACAUUUAGUCCGUUAUCUAACGCUGGGCAUCCUCACGCUGUGCAUGAGGACCUCCAGCAUCAGAUUUUUUUCCUAUAGAAAAGCACUGAAUAAUGCUUUCCUAUGGAAAGGUAUAAUGCGUGCGCAUUUGAC